GGAGAGGUGGCUGAGUGGUCGAAGGCGCUCGCUUGGAAAGCGAGUGAGGGUGUUAAGCCCUCCGCGGGUUCGAAUCCCGCUCUCUCCG
rnacentral:tRNA from 1 species